rnacentral:rRNA from 1 species
UACGUAGGUGACAAGCGUUGUCCGGAUUUACUGGGCGUAAAGAGCGCGCAGGCGGUCGAUCAAGUCGAGUGUGAAAGCCCCCGGCUCAACUGGGGAGGGUCAUUCGAUACUGAUCGACUCGAAGGCAGGAGAGGGUAGUGGAAUUCCGGGUGCAGUGGUGAAAUGCGUAGAUAUCGGGAGGAACACCAGUGGCGAAGGCGACUACCUGGCCUGUUCUUGACGCUGAGGCGCGAAAGCUAGGGGAGCAAACGGG